rnacentral:rRNA from 1 species
UACAGAGGGGGCUAGCGUUGUUCGGAAUUACUGGGCGUAAAGGGCUCGUAGGUGGCCAACUAAGUCAGACGUGAAAUCCCUCGGCUUAACCGGGGAACUGCGUCUGAUACUGGAUGGCUUGAGGUUGGGAGAGGGAUGCGGAAUUCCAGGUGUAGCGGUGAAAUGCGUAGAUAUCAGGAAGAACACCAAUGGCGAAGGCAGCUCUCUGGGACGGUACUGACGCUGAGACGCGAAAGCGUGGGGAGCGAACAGG